AUCUAGCUGAAGAGUCCCAGAUAAGACGAAACGCGCGUCGUGGAU
rfam:Schistosoma haematobium scaffold247_48, whole genome shotgun sequence.